UAGGUCAGGUGUGUAAGCGUUGUGAGGCGUUGAGCUAACUGAUACUAAUGACUCGAGAGGCUUAACCAUACAACCCAGAUGGGUUUUG
rnacentral:rRNA from 1 species